GGGGCGGGAAGGUUGUAGUGCCGCGAGUUGAGCUCCUCUUGCCUAAGUGGUCGCGCCCCCUUUAAGAGCAGCGAUUGUAAGGAGAGGCGGUCCCGGUGUCCUCGGGUUUUCAAAACAAAAAUAGAGUUGCAAUCUUGGCAGAACUGGACAAAGAGAAAAGAAAACUACUUAUGCAGAACCAGUCUUCAACAAAUCAUCCUGGAGCUAGCAUUGCACUCUCGAGACCCUCUCUUAAUAAGGACUUCCGGGAUCACGCUGAGCAGCAGCAUAUUGCAGCCCAACAGAAGGCAGCUUUGCAGCAUGCUCAUGCACAUUCAUCUGGAUACUUCAUCACUCAAGACUCUGCAUUUGGGAACCUUAUUCUUCCUGUUUUACCUCGCCUUGACCCAGAAUGAAGAAAACAUUUGCGAUGGAAAAGUGACUUUGUAAUAUCAAAUGCCAAAGCUACUAUCAUUCAGUGCUACAUGAACUGUGACUUUAAGAAUUUUGGUGAACUUUGAUAUUUUUUGUUUGUCUGAAAGAAAGGAAUGUGUAAGUGAAAGCUGAAAGAAGAAUAACCAGGAUGAUGAGAGCUGUGGAAGCUGUAUCGUCCAAGGAAUUGAUUAUGUACCGUGACUGUAACUUUUUUGUAAUGCUGUUUAACUCUCAAUCAGACUGUGAACUGGAUGGUCACGAAGUCAUUCCCCAACUCCUAGCAAGUUUGACUGAAUAUAUCAUGUCCACAGUAGAUUUUCAAGAAUCAUUUAUAGUACUUAACUUUAAAGAAACAAGGCUGCUUUUAAAAAAUGAACUAAUAGGCUUAAAUCAAUUGCAUCCAUAUUUGCUGUUUAUAGGAUUGCUAUCAGUAUACCUUUUGCGUUUAUAGUCAACAUGUAUCAUCCUGAAAUAUUCUUUCUGGACUUAUAACUACUUCCCCCUUUUUCACUUUAAAACAAACCUCAAGAAUAAAUUACUAACCAGUCUUAACCAUCUUUUAUAAACAUAUGCUCUUAUAAAUGUUGUGACUAGAUGCAAUUAAAAAUAAUAGGGAAUGUGGUAGGUUUUUAAUUUGUACAUCCUCUUAUUUAGUGUUACCACAUAAAUGAUGAGUUUGUGUGGUUCUGUUUUCCAUUUUUGUUCUAACUGAAAACUUUUUGGCUGGGCACGGUGCCUCAUGCCUGUAAUCCCAGCACUUUGGGAGGCCAAGGCGGGCAGAUCACUUGAGAUCAGGAGUUUGAGACCAGCCUGGCCAACAUGGUGAAACCCUGUCUCUACU
rnacentral:lncRNA from 1 species